GAUCCUGGCUCAGGAUGAACGCUGGCGGCGUGCCUAACACAUGCAAGUCGAACGGAGUCGUUUUGGAAAAUCCUUCGGGAUUGGAAUUCUCGACUUAGUGGCGGACGGGUGAGUAACGCGUGAGCAAUCUGCCUUUAAGAGGGGGAUAACAGUCGGAAACGGCUGCUAAUACCGCAUAAAGCAUCAAAUUCGCAUGUUUUUGAUGCCAAAGGAGCAAUCCGCUUUUAGAUGAGCUCGCGU
rnacentral:rRNA from 1 species